CAUUAAAACACAGGUUCUCAUUCGAUCACCGUAGUUAAGCAACAUUGAGCUUGGUCCAUACCUAGAAGGGUGACCACUUUGGAACACCAGGUGCUGUAA